AUGUUUGAUGGGGUGGAUCGCGGUGCCGUCGUGGCGAUCAAGCGGAUGAGGCUGUGCGCCAUGGAGGAGGAGGUGGAGGAGGGGAUGGAGGUGGACGGGGAAGAGGAGGAGGAGAGGACCGGUGGGUGGGCCUGGGGAGCGCCGGGGCUGGGGAUGGCUGGCCAGCCGGGAGAGCAGAGGGCGGCGGCGAUCGUGGUGGCAGACGCGGUGGAGCCUGACUUCCCCGUCAUCUACGUCAACGCCGCCUUCGAGGCCGCCACGGGGUACCGCGCGCACGAGGUCCUCGGCCGGAACUGCCGAUUCCUACAAUUUCGGGACCCACGUGCCCAAAGACGACAUCCCCUUGUCGAUCCAAUGGUUGUUUCAGAGAUGCGACGAUGCCUCAGUGAUGGAAUUGAAUUCCAAGGUGAACUACUAAAUUUUCGGAAAAAUGGCGCUCCACUGAAUAACCGGUUAAGGCUCAUUCCAAUGCAUGGGGAUGAUGGCGCUUUUACACACAUAAUUGCGAUCCAGUUGUUCUCUGAUGCUAACAUCGAUCCCAGCAACAUAUCUUACCCAGUAUAUAAACCACAGUCCAGCCACAGGCUCAGCAUUCAAGAUAUGAACCGGACUUCUCAUGAGCAUACUCCUAAAGUCCAAUGUUCAGAAUACUGCGCUAUCUUCAACCUCUCGGAUGAAGUUCUAGCUCAUAACAUUUUAUCUCGCCUGUCACCAAGAGAUGUAGCUUCAGUUGGCUCAGUCUGCACUAGAAUGCAUCUGCUGACCAAGAAUGAUCAUCUAAGAAAAAUGGUCUGCCAAAAUGCAUGGGGAAGAGAUGUCACUGGCAGGCUUGAGAUGAGCACCAAGAUGUUAGGAUGGGGUCGUCUUGCAAGAGAACUAACAACUCUCGAGGCAGCCUCUUGGAGGAAGUUCACAGUUGGAGGACGCGUUGAGCCAUCCCGAUGCAAUUUUAGUGCCUGUGCUGUGGGCAACCGCCUCGUCCUUUUUGGCGGGGAGGGGGUCAACAUGCAGCCUAUGAGUGACACCUUUGUGCUUAACCUGGAGGCUCCAAAGCCAGAAUGGUGCCGUGUCAAGGUUUCUGCCUCCCCACCUGGCCGCUGGGGCCACACUCUCUCAUGGCUAAAUGGCUCAUGGCUGGUAGUAUUUGGAGGCUACGGACAGCAAGGUUUGCUUAAUGAUGUCUUCGUCCUUGACCUUGAUGCUCAGACUCCCGCUUGGAGGGAGAUUGCUAGCGACGGUCCGCCACUGCCACGGUCCUGGCAUAGUUCAUGCACCCUGGACGGUUCUAAACUUCUUGUGUCGGGGCGGGGGCUUCUAAGCGACACAUUCCUGCUUGACUUGACGAAGGAGAAGCCAACAUGGAAGGAGAUCCCGACAUCCUGGUCAUCCCGCCUUGGCCAUACCUUGUCUGUUUAUGGUAAGACUAAAAUAUUUAUGUUUGGUGGAUUGGCAAAGAGUGGCUCGCUCCGACUGCGCUCCAGUGAUGCCUACAUAAUGGAUGUUGGUGAAGAGAAUCCACAAUGGAGGCAGCUGGCGACAACUGGGUUUCCAAGCGUUGUUCCUCCGCCAAGGCUUGAUCAUGUCACGGUGAGCCUGCCCUGUGGAAGGAUCAUCAUAUUUGGCGGUUCAAUCGCCGGGCUGCACUCACCCGCUGAGCUCUUCUUGCUUGAUCCGGCUGAGGAAAAGCCGACAUGGAGAAUCCUGAACGUCCCUGGGCAGCCACCCAAGUUCGCUUGGGGACACAGCACCUGCGUGGUUGGUGGCACUAGGAUCUUGGUUCUUGGUGGACACACCGGAGAGGAGUGGAUACUGAAUGAGCUUCACGAGCUCUGCCUCUCAAGCAGGCCCGAUGAAGAUGGAUGA
rnacentral:rRNA from 1 species